UACGAAGGGGGCUAGCGUUGUUCGGAAUUACUGGGCGUAAAGCGCACGUAGGCGGACAUUUAAGUCAGGGGUGAAAUCCCAGAGCUCAACUCUGGAACUGCCUUUGAUACUGGGUGUCUAGAGUAUGGAAGAGGUGAGUGGAAUUCCGGAAGUGUAGAGGUGAAAUUCGUAGAUAUUCGGAGGAACACCAGUGGCGAAGGCGGCUCACUGGUCCAUUAC
rnacentral:rRNA from 1 species